AAGGGUUGCAGGCCGGAAUUGAACCAGCGACCGCUGCGGCGAGGACCGAGCCUCUGUACAUAGGGCGCACGCAAUUGUUGACGUAUAGGCUACGACAUCGUCAGAUGGACUUGCCCUAAAGUUUGGAUCAUUAUUCCCCACACUCAGUGGCCUGUCGUAACGUUCCUGCGUCAUCGCAGCCUGUGAUAGGCUGAUCUGCACUGUGAGUACAUUCCGGUUGAAGAAUGCUGUGAGAGUCAGUGGGCACUGAGCCAUGCGUCCUGUUGUGGUAACUGGCAUCUUUCCUGUGGUGGUGCUGAUGUACAUCCCGAACACUGUGGAGACGUUAAGCUCUCCUUCACCUCCUCCACAACGCUCCCUGGGGAUCCCAGCACGCCCACAUUCUCCCAUGGAUACUUCAACUCUCCCUCUCAUCACCGUGGAGACCCAGUGAGCGGCUUGCUCCCAGCAGGCAUUGGUCCAUAUCAUGAAUCCACCAAUAACGUCACCUGUACUAAUAGAGUCAUUUAGCUGUUUUGCAUUCCUUUGAAUGCCUCUUAUUUUCCUGGACUGACAAAAGACUUUAAUGACUCCCAGGUUCAGUGUUUCUAGUCAAGAUGCACUUAAUUUGAAAAACCUAUUAGGGGCUCAUUGUCAAUUAAUUAAAAAUGUUUCUGGCUAUCUAAUUCGCUUUUAAAUUUGUUUUUUUACUUUAUUUCCAACGCCAACUUUUCCCUAUUUUCAUUUAAACUGUUUUGUGUUAUAGCUAAAAAAUAUCACAGU